rnacentral:ncRNA from 2 species
UACGUAGGUGGCAAGCGUUAUCCGGAAUUACUGGGCGUAAAGCGCACGCAGGCGGCGCAUCAAGUUCGACGUGAAAGCUCCCGGCUUAACUGGGAGAGGUCGUUGAAGACUGAUGUGCUUGAGGCAAGGAGAGGGGUGUAGAAUUCCCGGUGUAGUGGUGGAAUGCGUAGAUAUCGGGGGGAAUACCAGUGGCGAAAGCGGCACCCUAGCCUUAGCCUGACGCUCAGGUGCGAAAGCGUGGGGAGCGAACGGG